CCUACGGGCGGCUGCAGUGAGGAAUAUUGGUCAAUGGACGAGAGUCUGAACCAGCCAAGUAGCGUGAAGGAUGACUGCCCUAUGGGUUGUAAACUUCUUUUAUAUGGGAAUAAAAUGUUCCACGUGUGGGAUUUUGUAUGUACCAUAUGAAUAAGGAUCGGCUAACUCCGUGCCAGCAGCCGCGGGAAUACGGAGGAUCCGAGCGUUAUCCGGAUUUAUUGGGUUUAAAGGGAGCGUAGGUGGAUUGUUAAGUCAGUUGUGAAAGUUUGCGGCUCAACCGUAAAAUUGCAGUUGAAACUGGCAGUCUUGAGUACAGUAGAGGUGGGCGGAAUUCGUGGUGUAGCGGUGAAAUGCUUAGAUAUCACGAAGAACUCCGAUUGCGAAGGCAGUUCACUGGACUGCAACUGACACUGAGGCUCGAAAGUGUGGGUAUCAAACAGGAUUAGAUACCCUAGUAGUC
rnacentral:rRNA from 1 species